AACAUGAUUAGAUACCCUGGUAGUCCACGCCGUGAACGAUGUCGACUUGGAGGUUGUGCCCUUGAGGCGUGGCUUCCGGAGCUAACGCGUUAAGUCGACCGCCUGGGGAGUACGGCCGCAAGGUUAAAACUCAAAUGAAUUGACGGGGGCCCGCACAAGCGGUGGAGCAUGUGGUUUAAUUCGAUGCAACGCGAAGAACCUUACCUGGUCUUGACAUCCACGGAAGUUUUCAGAGAUGAGAAUGUGCCUUCGGGAACCGUGAGACAGGUGCUGCAUGGCUGUCGUCAGCUCGUGUUGUGAAAUGUUGGGUUAAGUCCCGCAACGAGCGCAACCCUUAUCCUUUGUUGCCAGCGGUCCGGCCGGGAACUCAAAGGAGACUGCCAGUGAUAAACUGGAGGAAGGUGGGGAUGACGUCAAGUCAUCAUGGCCCUUACGACCAGGGCUACACACGUGCUACAAUGGCGCAUACAAAGAGAAGCGACCUCGCGAGAGCAAGCGGACCUCAUAAAGUGCGUCGUAGUCCGGAUUGGAGUCUGCAACUCGACUCCAUGAAGUCGGAAUCGCUAGUAAUCGUGGAUCAGAAUGCCACGGUGAAUACGUUCCCGGGCCUUGUACACACCGCCCGUCACACCAUGGGAGUGGGUUGCAAAAGAAGUAGGUAGCUUAACCUUCGGGAGGGCGCUUACCACUUUGUGAUUCAUGACUGGGGUGAAGUCGUAACAAGGUAACC
rnacentral:rRNA from 1 species